GGGUUCGCUUUUGCUGCAGCGCUGAACAGGCAGCGCAACUAGUGUUCCCUCCCAUCCCGAGCAUCGCACCCUCUCCUUGCCUCUCUCCUCGCCAGCCACCAAUCCGCCUUCUCGCUGCUUCGUCUCCUCCAACGCCUUGUCUCCGGCCGCCGGCCUCCCGACCGCCCUACCUCACAACAACGUUUCCCGAGGAGCAACGCGAGCGAGGCCAGCAUACGGAAGGAGCGGAUCGAGGUCUUGCACGCUGGCUCCGUCAGCUGCUUCGCACCGUUCUGGAUUCGCGCCGUCGCAUGCGAUGGUUCUAGAUCAGCGCAGGUCAUCGCCGUGGAAUAUCAGGGGCGGCGAUUUCUUCACGUCGAGGGCUGGUGAGCUGGGGAGGGUCAGGAGGCUGACAGGGCGUGCAAAAGAGCAACAAGGUUGGCUGUGGGGGAGAGGCUACCUCGGAGCUUCAGGCUGCGCACGCGUCAGGAGUUUGGCGAUGGGGGAGCAGCUGCUCGGAGCUCGGCUGUGCACACCUCGUGGGAUCUGGUCUCACCAGGCACUCGAUGUCGGCCACUCAGCCUCAUCGGCAUCCCGAGGUGACACAACGACGGCCGGCGCUCGACACCAUCUUUCGCGACUCGACGACAGCCGGCUCAUAUAGCGGUACAGCGGACGGCGACCUCAGCGGGUGGGUGACGAUGACUGCAGCUGGUGCACGAGCUCUCACUCGGCUCCUCGUCUCAGGGUCCAGACUGAUAGUUGGAUGCUCUGUGCUAGCGUAUGGAAGUGCUGCAACCACUUCUGUUUCGGCUGUGAGUUCACUGGAGGAGAGAGAGUCUGGCUUGCGAGUUUCGCCGACGCGGCCACGGCGGGGAUGCCAAACUCCGUGGAGAUGCCAAAGAUGUACUGGGAGGUGGUGCUUCCUGGAAUCCCAAUGCCUCCACCUAUCAUCAACCUGCUGUUAGCCCAACAAAACGAUAUCUCUCUCUCUCUCUCUCCCUCGCUCUCUCCCUUCCCACCUUGGUGACCUCAUUUAAGUGCUUUUGAUAAUUGGUGGUACAACUUUCCCUCUUUGAUACCAACAAAUACUUUAUAACGACUCUUAGUUUGCAAUCCAUUAUGAAACAUAAAUGAAGAUAAUAGAUGUGAAUCUUUUGUUCUAACGAUUGAUAAAUAUUAAAUUAAAGUAUAGAGACUAUUGCAUAUACAAUAUGUACCAUAAAGGAUAAGUUAACCUUUUCUCUACCACAUGAACUGAGAACUUACAAGCUAAUUUGAUAAGAAGCAUAGUACUUGUAUCAUUCGGAAAAUGGCCCUUCUGUAUUCCAUUUUCAGGGAUAGUCCUGUUGUGCUUUGUUUUAUCUAAAACUACAGGGUUCUUGUGCAGUUCAGAUGUUCUGGGAUUAGUAAGAGUUUUACUAUAUCUGAACUUCUGAAAUUAGUACGAGUCUGACAGCCUUGCAACCAAACCAAAACUAAAACUGCAGGGAUCUUGUGACAGCCUUGCAACCAAAACUAGAGAUCUUGUGGAGUUCAAAGUUAGCUGCCAUUUGUUGGAAUAUCAGUUAUCUUAUUUGUGCACGAUUAACCUGCUUAUCAUGAAAAAGUAGAAUCUUUUAGGAUGGACCAUCAAGUUGGUUGGCAUUUGUUUAGAUCUUUAUGAGAAGCAGCUCCUCUCAGUUGGACUUUUCUUUUUUAUUCAUCUUGGUAAUAUGAGAAUAUAGUUCUUAGUUAGAUAUCAGUUACACAAUUAGAACACCAUGAAUUCACUGUUUUUAUAGGACCUUGCUGCUCUGAAUCAGUGUAAUAAACUUGGUGUACAAAAUACAUGUAGAUUUUGUUUUAUUCAUCAAAUAACACAUCCAGAAUCCUUGUUAACAUUGACCCUGCUGAUGCGAAUCAAUGUAAUAAUCUCCUUUAUGAUUCUAUCUACCCAUAUGAUCAACUCAAUUGAAUUAAUUUUCAUAUUCUAGACGUUCUGUUUUAUUGGUUGUGGUUCUGAAUAAUUUUGGCUGGUCGUUGGAGCAGAAGCAAUGAAGCUUGAAGUUUAGAAGUUUGGGGGAUGGCAACAAUACUGCUCUUUACACUGCCUGUCAUUGUUAUUUCAUGUUUCUGAAUUUAAGUACCGAGAACUAAGUGUCGCGUGUUGUCAAACUUUAAUGUUAUGUCCUGUCUUGAGAGUUUGAUUUGGGCGAGUGUGUACUAAACUACUGUUGGAUGCUAUGUUUGAGUCAAGAUAUGCUUAUGUGUGAUCGGUGUUAAAUUUGUAACAUAUUGUUAUAUUUGUCACUUGUUUGAUACCACCGCUUGUUAACUCUGAAAAAAAGAUGGGGAAUAGACGAUCUUUUGGCAAAAGGAAACGGCACACUAUUUUUUUUACAUGAGGAAACUGUAGACUGGUGGGGACUUCCUGCUAAUAUGAUACACUAAUGAAUGUAAUGGGUUAUCUGCAGUAUACCUCAAUUUUGAAUGUGACACGUCAUGUAUGUAUACACUAAAAAAUUGAGAUUGUUGGUUGCAGCUCCGUAGGUAGGGGUAUGUAAUUAGUCAGUAUAUUUUUAAACUAUUAGUUCAACUUCUCAAAAUAAUUUUUAAUGUACAUGUAGUGUAUCUAAAAUUAGGAUCUUUCUUACUGCACCACCAAGUUUUCAGCCUAAACAUUAUUAGCCUUUUACCAUGGUGUUCAAGAAAGAAUUAUGGGUCAUUUUGUCAUGAAGCAUGAGAAUGAUAAUUCCACCUCAGGUGGUGAUAAAUUAAUAAAUUUAAAACAAUAAUGAGGCUAGCCAACUCACCUCCAGAAGGCUCCUCCGAUUCGGCCUUCGUCGGCCGUCGGAUCUGUUUUUUUCAUGCGUCUGGACCGUUUUUCGUGCUUUUGCUUUUGGCAGUCACCUGCCUAUUUGUAUGAGAGAUUUCUUAUUUACCUAAGGCCAAGUGUAUUGGUGUUGGGAUCCAGACGAUGAGUAUGAUGAUGCCAUUGAUUCACAUGAUGAUCUUGGUGAUGAGUAUGAUGAUGCCACUCAUAUGUUGGUGUGAGGAAACUUGGUGAUGGUAUUGGUGAGAGCAUAGAGAAGGAAGUGAAGGUUCCCUUUGAGAGAAACAUGAGAGUUUAGUGGUUCCAUUCAAUUCCAGAUGUAACACGUGUGUAUGAAUCAUGGUGGUAUCUUAGAUAUGCUUGGUUGAUAUUUUCUUCUUC